AGGCUGAAACCAGUCUCUCGAGCUGAAAGAAAACGGAGCUGAGCAGAUAUGAGGAAACUUCCACAUACAGUAAGCAGAUGCUGAGGCCCAGAUUUCCAUGCUAAGCACUCCAAGGCUCAUCAUGCUCGGAGAGUCCAAUCUGAGGGCAAAAAAUGGAUGCUUUCCAUCGAGUGCUGAGUUCUCCUCCAAUUGAGUGACGGUUGUGAUUUCACUUCUGCUCUAGCCUUUUUGCGUCAUACUAUGUAUGAGGCAGCCACUACAUUGGGAUUUAUCCAGAGGGUAGAGUCCAGCCCAGGAAGUCAACUAGUUCAUGUCCAGAUUUAAAAGAAUAAUAUUUCUGAAAAAAAGGUCUUGCAGAAAAACAAUAUUCAGGUUUGAAAUCCUGCUGUAAAUGUAAAUCAUUUAACUUUUAUGCAUUUGUA